CAAAAUGGCUCUCUGCUGCACACCGCACCCUCCUGCACACCGCCCCCUGCUCCAGGUUGCUCAGAGCAAGAAUGUGUUUUCUGAAUGGGAUGCCCAUCGCUUUCCUAUAAAUACCCAAAGCUGGGGCUUCUUUGGAAAAUCAGAAGACCUGGGAACACGGCCACCACAGUGUGAGUUCCAUGACUUAAGAAUUCACUCAAACAAGAGCGAUGUCAAGGGCCCCCGACUGUCAGGCUCUGGGAGGACGCGGGGAGCUGCCCCCACGAGGGCGCGGUCCAGCUUCGUGUGCCCUCGGGACUCCCCCUCCAAGUCGUGAGCGAGAACAGACAGACGCCAUUCCUCUACUGGACACUCCGUGGGAUCCCGCCGCCCGAGCACAGCAGCCUGGUCGCCCUCAGUCCCCGAGGCUGGAGCGCCCCUGAGGUUUUGGGGGAGCCAUCGUGACCCGAACCCGCUCACAGAGGAGCAGGGAGAUGGCAGUCACCUCCUUUCCCUGCGUCCAAGCGCAGUCCUUGGAGGAGGCCUCAGAUUCCGGACACGGCCGCGUCCGCUCCCAGGACUUCACAGCCCGUCUCCCCGGCUUCCUCGUGGACGGUCACCUGGAACCCGUUCGUUGUUCGGCCGGAUUUGCGAGCGGCUUUCAGCCAAAUGCGUGACUUCUCCUUCUCCAGGUUUCUAAGGCUGACAACACAUUCUGACCAAGACAAGGAGCGUGAGCAUCUGGGCAGCUGCCCCACUGGACGAACUCCCGGGUCUGUGUUCGAGGGAAGUCCACGUGUCCAGAGGCCCCGACCAAGGCCUCACGUGGUCGCUUCGAGCCGCCUUCAGUUUUGUCUCCAGCUGGAGAAACAGUGGUGACGGCUCCCUCAUGUCAAGGCACCACGGCCAUGGUGGGGUUUGGCUGCCUGGUGUCUGUCCCUCUUUCUUCGUAUGGGAGCCCAACGGCCCGAAUUCCUGCUCCAGCCUGCCUACACCCCGAGGGGCCGCCUGCCAAGGGGCCUUGUCCCGGCCAACGGGCAGCAGAGGACCCAGGUGAGGCUAAGCAGUCACUUCCUACUGGGCAGAAUGUUGGCGCUCACUCAUUCAUUCGUUCCUGCGGGCUCAUUCAUUCGUUCCUGCGGCAGACCCCACAGCAUGGGCUAAUGAAAAGAUCCUCGUACCUGGGACUGCCUGGCUUAGCCAGUUACCAGGUGUGUGUGGCAGAUUGUAUUUCUGUUCACAAAUAUUUGGUGAUACAUCCCCGCCCCACUCACUUGGCAUGGCUAUGUGACCUAGCCUGGCUACUCCUCAGAGAGGUCAAGUGUCCCACCUGAGGUCACACAGCCUGUAAGUGGUGGAGUUGGGAUUUGAACCCUUCCACCUCACACGGUGCUGGGUCCCAGUGCCAGCCCCUCUCCCCACCAGGGGGUCUGAGAGCCCCUCCCAAGCCUCAUCCAGCCGUCAGUUGGCUCUGGCAAAACUCAUCCCAGAAGCGUCUGUGUUCUCCAUGGGACGUCUGCCCGACCCAGAGCUAUAAUGGUGGGCCCACGAGUGGUGGCGCCGACAAGCAGGGGUAGAAGGUUCUAGACGCUCUAUCACUGCCUUGGUGUUAAGCCAGAGCAGCUGAGGGCCCAGCCCUUCCCCAGACCAAGGACGGUCUCCCAGGACUAUACAGAGUGGCCGUCAUAGCAGCAACAGGUGACCUUGUGACCAGCGGUGCGCCUCAUCUCGUUUAUUCCUCCUGUAAAUGCACGAGGUGACAAUGUGUCUGAACGUUAAUGUCCCCCAGACGCCCCUGUUGGAAUCCUAGUCCCCAUGCUCGUGGUAUUAGGAGGUGGGCUCAUCGGGAGGUGCUGAGGUCGUGAGGGCGGAGCCUGGAGGAUGGGGUUGGUGCCCUGGUGAAGGAGACCCCGCAGAGCUCCCUGCCCCUUCCGUGUGAGGACACGGCAGGAAGUCUGCAGCCGGGAGAGGGCGUUCACCGGGCCCUGCCGGCACCCUGAGCUUGGACUUCCAGCCUCCAGAACUAUAAGAAAGAAAUUUCUGCUGUUCACCAGCCACCCAGCCUGUGGUGUUUGCAAUCGCAGCCUGGCGCACUAAGACGGGUGAGGGCUGUGAUCCUGACCCUGGUUGAUGGAGGGGGGAACUGAGGCUCAGAGUGAGGAGGGACUGGCCCAGACCACCUGGCUGGUCACCUCAGACCUGACUCAUCUGAGCGCAGAGCGGCCUCCUGUCCCGAGAUGAGUCAUCUCGUAGCUGACUUGGUUUUUAGCUCUUGUUUUCUCCCCUCUUCUGUGACUCACUGAGAACAGGGAACAGCAAGGAGCAGGGAGACUGUGAGGAGGGCACCCCAGCAGGGGAUGGGGCGGCACCCUGGGCUGGCCCCCUCCAGCUCAGAGCCCUGGAGAGGAACCGCUCCUGGGGGGCUGGGCAGGGCUGAGAACCAGCUCCCUCAGGGGCCCAUCAGCAAGGACCAGCCACCUCUGGGAGGACUAGGAAUUCCCACCACAAUUAUGUCUUGUUUUGCCCAUGGCCUCCGCCCACCCCCACCCCCACCUCGCACAGUGUCCCGUCCCAGCAGGUGCAGUCCUUUGAAAAGAAGGUCACAAAUGUCUUGACCCUGCUCCCAGGGAGAGGUGGGGUCGACAUCCCCUUUCUUGAAUUUAGGGGUCUUAGGACUACUUUCCCAGCAGAGUCCAUCGGAAAUGCUGCCGUGGGACUCCUGAAGCUUGGUCGGAAAAGGCCAGGCAGCUUCCUCUCGUCCCUGGGACGCUCGCUGGGGAGGAAGCCAGCCGCCAGACAAGGAGUCAACAACCCCGAGCCCGCCACGCAGGGCGCUCCCAUCCAUCGCCAGCCGAGCUCCCAGACGACCGCCAGCAUCCGCUUCCGGUCACUUGAGAGGGCAGCUCGGCCGUCCAGCCCAGUCGAUGUGCCCACCACCCAGUGAGGGACCCCAGCUAGCGAGGAUCGCCCAGCUGAGCCCUUCCUGAACUCUGCCCGACAAGAUCUGCGGCAGCACGGAACGGGGGUGGCUUGGCACCAUUCGAUGUGGGGUAACGUGGAGCAGCGGUUGAUGCCCAGCGUGUGAAGUGCUCCGGAGCGUGUCUAAGCAAGAGGCUCGGGUCCCGGGCUCCACCCCAGCCCCUGCCAGGCCCUGAUGCAGGCCAGAUCAGGGCGUCCUGGCCUCGGGCAGAGACGGGGGCAGGUGCAGCCAGCUCCAGGCAACAUUCCAGACGCCUACUGGGUGCUAGUUCCGGGGGAUAAAGAGAGGAUAAAGGAGAGGCCUCUCUCCGCCCUUGAAGCCCUUGUCAUCGGCCAGCUGCCCUCCGAAAUCCCAGCAGAGGCCUGAGCUGCAGCUUUCGAUAAAAAUCAAGCUCCUUGACACACAAACCCAGCUCCACCCUCUUUGCGCUUUCCCUCAGGCAACAUCCCCAGGGAGCCUUUGUCUUCCGUCCCCUUUGCACGCUUCACUCCUCUCCUUCAGUUCUGAGCUCAGGUGUUGCCUCCUCAGGGAAGCCCUCCUUGGUGCCCCUGACCGGGCCCAGUGCCCUUGUAAUUCUCUCAUAGAGCCUGGCUCUCCUUCCAGAGAGGGCUUAUCCUUGUCUGCACCUGUCCCAAGUUCUCUAACUGGAGCUAAAAUCCCGUAAGCCGGGAAGCCAGAGACCUAGCUUGCCUCCCGCUGCUUUAGGUGCAGGAAAAAACUGGGGCACGCGGAGCUCACAAGAUCUAGUGGCAGGCCUGAUGCAAUGAGACCCGAGCCCCUACCGGACACCCACACAAUCCUCCCUGCUCCUUAAGCCUUCCCACCUAUGGCAGUAGGUAAGACUGUGGCCCGUUUUGCAGAUGAGGCAACUGAGGCCCAGAGAGGUUAACUAACUUGCCUAAAGCCACACAGCUGUGCACAGAGGAGCAGGUAUUAGAACCCAGACGUGGCCGGCAUGGAGCAGUGUGACCGUGGCCUUGCCCACACCUCGCAGUGUCUUUCCUGCUCUCAUUGGGUUUCUGCCCUCUCCCCAUGCCUCGUCCGCCCCACACUCCACACUCAGCUCCUCCAAACCCGGCUGUCUCUGGCUCUGAAGCUCCUCUGACCGGCUUCUGAGUUCCCACAGGGCCUGGCAUGCUGGAAGUCAUUUUUAAGCUCUAGGACAACCUCAGAGAGGGUGUCAGGGCCCAGCAGAGGAGGGCGCCUUCUCUCAGCUUUUCCUGAAAAGACAGAGUGGGGGGUUCUGGUGACUGGGGAGAUGCCGCAAUCCUGCUGUCAUGUCACUCUCUCAAAUCCAGGGCCUCUCUGCUCCCCUAAGACUGCAGUGCCAGAGACACCAGGAGACCUGGGUUCGAAUCCCGGCUCUGCCACCUUCUAGCUGGGUGGCCUCAGGUGAAUCACUUGGUCUCUCUGAGCCUCAGUUUCCACAAAAUGGGGACGCAGACAGCACCUAUUUCUUAAGGUUGUCGUUAAAAAUUAAACAAACUCCUGUAUAUCAAUGUGCCUCGCCCCCAGGAGCUCUGUAAAUGCCUAUUAAAUCUGAACACGACAAUUGCCUUUGUUCUUACAGUACAGAAAGAAGCUUUAUAACACAAAGCCGACAAACUUGUUUUUUGAAAAACAAAACAACAUUUAUUUCUGUAAACUGUUUGAGUGCAGAUGUUCGUUGCAACCCCAAUACAGCACAGACCUCCUCCCCCCAAAUGAAAUGAGCCAGGAAAAAAAGAACAAAACAAUAUAAAAUGUGCUCAUGAAGAACCAAGCCAAUCUCAUCUUUCUUUGAGAAAAAAAAAAAAUCCUUUUGAA